rnacentral:tRNA from 1 species
GCGGAAGUAGCUCAACUGGCAGAGCGCCACCUUGCCAAGGUGGAGGCCGCGGGUUCAAAUCCCGUCUUCCGCUCUA